UGAUAUGUUUAAUUCAUUGGUAGUUGAUAUUGAUUUUUUUCAUACUUUUUAAUAAGCUUUGCAACAGCAGUAGUUUGGUCCACAAUGGUUAGCUUUCCACGUACAUCCACCAUUACCGUAUCCAUAGGUUCUCAAAUUUACUUUCUCUGCAUCAGGCUGGAAACUAGAGGGAUUAUCCCGAAGCUUGCUAUGAUAUUUACUGAUAUGGUAUGCAUCAAAGCAUCUGACUCUGAAAUUAAGAGAAAUAUGUUGUGAACUCAAUUAAACAUGUGAAAUCGAGUGUCAAUUCCUGGAGACAAUAGAC
rnacentral:lncRNA from 1 species